rnacentral:rRNA from 1 species
UUCCACCUGAGGAGCGGCUUACGCGAUAUUAGCUUGUUGGCGAGGUAACGGCUCACCAAGGCUGCGAUAUCUAGGGGGUGUGAGAGCAUGGCCCCCACCACUGGGACUGAGAUACUGCCCAGACACCUACGGGUGGCUGCAGUCGAGAAUCUUCGGCAAUGGGCGAAAGCCUGACCGAGCGACGCCGCGUGCGGGAUGAAGGUCUUCGGAUUGUAAACCGCUGUCGGGAGGGAUGAAGUGCACGGGGGCAAUCCCCUGUGUUUGACAGAGCUCCGGAGGAAGCACGGGCUAAGUUCGUGCCAGCAGCCGCGGUAAUACGAACUGUGCGAACGUUAUUCGGAAUCACUGGGCUUAAAGGGUGCGUAGGCGGCGCUGUAAGUCAGGUGUGAAAUCCCCCGGCUCAACCGGGGAAUGGCGCUUGAAACUGCAGUGCUUGAGUGAGGUAGGGGUGCAUGGAACUUCCGGUGGAGCGGUGAAAUGUGUAGAUAUCGGAAGGAACGCCGGCGGCGAAAGCGGUGCACUGGGCCUUGUCUGACGCUGAGGCACGAAAGCUAGGGUAGCGAACGGGAUUAGAU